GACGAACGCUGGCGGUGUGCCUCAUACAUGCAAGUCGAACGAGAAGCAGGAGCUUGCUCCUGUGGAAAGUGGCGGACGGGUGAGUACAACAUAGGAAAUCUGCCUUAGGGUGGGGGACAACAGAGGGAAACUUCUGCUAAUACCCCAUAUGAGCUUGGUUGAAAUACCAAUCUUGAAAGUUCCGGCGCCCUAAGAUGAGCCUGUGCCUGAUUAGCUAGUUGGUGGUGUAAUGGACUACCAAGGCAACGAUCAGUAGCUGGUUUGAGAGGAUGAUCAGCCACAAUGGGACUGAGACACGGCCCAUACUCCUACGGGAGGCAGCAGUAGGGAAUUUUGCGCAAUGGGCGAAAGCCUGACGCAGCAACACCGCGUGAAUGUUAAGCCCUUCGGGGUGUAAAGUUCUGUCAAUAGGGACGAAUUUUGACUGUACCUAUAAAGGAAGCACCGGCUAACUCCGUGCCAGCAGCCGCGGUAAUACGGGGGGUGCAAGCGUUGUCCGGAAUCAUUGGGCGUAAAGCGUUCGUAGGCGGCAAGGUAAGUCUGAUGUUAAAGCCCGGGGCUCAACUCCGGUUCGGCAUUGGAUACUAUCUAGCUAGAAUGUGGUAGAGGUAAAGGGAAUUCCUGGUGUAGCGGUGAAAUGCGUAGAUAUCAGGAGGAACAUCGGUGGCGAAAGCGCUUUACUGGACCAUUAUUGACGCUGAGGAACGAAAGCCAGGGGAGCAAAUGGGAUUAGAUACCCCAGUAGUCCUGGCCGUAAACGAUGGAUACUAGGUGUUGCGGGUAUCGACCCCUGCAGUGCCGAAGCUAACGCGAUAAGUAUCCCGCCUGGGGAGUACGCACGCAAGUGUGAAACUUAAAGGAAUUGACGGGGGGCCCGCACAAGCGGAGGAACAUGUGGUUUAAUUCGAUGAUACGCGAGGAACCUUACCCGGGCUCAAACGCAACCGGAAUGUAUCUGAAAGGAUACAGUUCUACGGAGCCGGUUGCGAGGUGCUGCAUGGUUGUCGUCAGCUCGUGCCGUGAGGUGUCGGCUUAAGUGCCAUAACGAGCGCAACCCCUAUCGACAGUUGCUAACGAGUCAAGUCGAGGACUCUGUCGAGACUGCCGGCGCAAGCUGUGAGGAAGGCGGGGAUGACGUCAAAUCAGCACGGCCCUUACGUCCGGGGCGACACACGUGUUACAAUGGCGACUACAGCGGGAAGCCACCUGGCGACAAGGAGCGGAACCCGAAAAGUCGUCUCAGUUCGGAUUGGAGUCUGCAACUCGACUCCAUGAAGCUGGAUUCGCUAGUAAUCGCGCAUCAGCCAUGGCGCGGUGAAUACGUUCCCGGGCCUUGUACACACCGCCCGUCAAGCCAUGGAAGCCGGGGGUGCCUGAAGUGCGUGACCGCAAGGAGCGCCCUAAGGUAAAACCGGUGACUGGGGCU
rnacentral:rRNA from 1 species